AGAGUUUGAUCCUGGCUCAGAUUGAACGCUGGCGGCGGGCCUAACACAUGCAAGUCGAGCGGAUGAGUGGAGCUUGCUCCAUGAUUCAGCGGCGGACGGGUGAGUAAUGCCUAGGAAUCUGCCUGGUAGUGGGGGACAACGUUUCGAAAGGAACGCUAAUACCGCAUACGUCCUACGGGAGAAAGCAGGGGACCUUCGGGCCUUGCGCUAUCAGAUGAGCCUAGGUCGGAUUAGCUAGUUGGUGAGGUAAAGGCUCACCAAGGCGACGAUCCGUAACUGGUCUGAGAGGAUGAUCAGUCACACUGGAACUGAGACACGGUCCAGACUCCUACGGGAGGCAGCAGUGGGGAAUAUUGGACAAUGGGCGAAAGCCUGAUCCAGCCAUGCCGCGUGUGUGAAGAAGGUCUUCGGAUUGUAAAGCACUUUAAGUUGGGAGGAAGGGCAGUAAGUUAAUACCUUGCUGUUUUGACGUUACCGACAGAAUAAGCACCGGCUAACUUCGUGCCAGCAGCCGCGGUAAUACGAAGGGUGCAAGCGUUAAUCGGAAUUACUGGGCGUAAAGCGCGCGUAGGUGGUUCGUUAAGUUGGAUGUGAAAGCCCCGGGCUCAACCUGGGAACUGCAUCCAAAACUGGCGAGCUAGAGUAUGGCAGAGGGUGGUGGAAUUUCCUGUGUAGCGGUGAAAUGCGUAGAUAUAGGAAGGAACACCAGUGGCGAAAGCGACCACCUGGGCUAAUACUGACACUGAGGUGCGAAAGCGUGGGGAGCAAACAGGAUUAGAUACCCUGUAGUCCACGCCGUAAACGAUGUCGACUAGCCGUUGGGAUCCUUGAGAUCUUAGUGGCGCAGCUAACGCAUUAAGUCGACCGCCUGGGAGUACGGCCGCAAGGUUAAAACUCAAAUGAAGUGACGGGGGCCCGCACAAGCGGUGG
rnacentral:rRNA from 1 species